CAUCCCUCUGACUGGAAAGGUUCGUGUGUUUGCUUUAAUGAUCUCCUUAGCAGCAGGCUCAGAAAGUCCUUUGGCUCCUCUGGCAGGGAGCUGGGACCUGAAUGCUUAAGAUGGGAACCUUCCAAACCUCCAAAGCCUGGACUUAGCUGUGUUCUGAUGCCAAGCCAAGGAGAGGGGAUGGCAUGGUUCUCUGUGCCUGGCUGAGGACAGACUGGAAGACAGCAGUGGCCAUAAGGUGUGGCUGGGAGACAACAGCCACCAGGUACUUAGGAGAGACAGAAGUGGCCAAGCUCAGGAGAGGAGGGCACUUGGCUGCACUCCUCUUACCUGAAGGUUUCUCUCUGAGGGAUACCCAAGAACUGGGCUGGGGCAGCUGCUGGCUCCUUCUCGUUCUCUCAGCAUUCACAGGGGAAGGAGGCUGCAGUCAAGAAUUCACCACCACUGUGGGGUUCUGUCUUCUGCUACCUUCUACCAUGAGUGGGUCUCUGCUCUUGAGAGCAGCCUUGCACUGGGACCUUGUUAACACCCUCCUUCACCAAAGGACUUCCACCAUCUGCUGGGGUGCCUCAGGGGGAACCCCAGGAUCCUUGAGAGAGGAAGGUAUGUCCUCUCCAUCCUCAUGAAGAAACAAGUCUGAUAACCCUUGUUCUGUGUCAGCUAAUGGGACUCCUGGGCAGCAGAUUGCUCUAAAAAGGC